rnacentral:misc_RNA from 1 species
GGCUGCCGCUGGCCGAGCAGCCGGGCACACUGUGGGAUUACGGCCACUCGCUGGACGUGCUUGCCCGCGUGAUCGAAGUCGUAUCCGGAAAAUCGCUUUAUGCCUUCGAGAAGGAGCGGCUGUUUNNNNNNNNNGGCAUGAAGGAUACGUCGUACUAUGUUGCGGACCCGUCGCAGUAUCGCCGCAUCGCGGAGCCGCUGCCGAGCGACAGCAAUUUCAGAACCGGCAAUUCCCGG